AUUGAACGCUGGCGGCAUGCCUUACACAUGCAAGUCGAACGGCAGCACGGGUGCUUGCACCUGGUGGCGAGUGGCGAACGGGUGAGUAAUAUAUCGGAACAUACCCUAGAGUGGGGGAUAACGUAGCGAAAGUUACGCUAAUACCGCAUACGAACUAAGGUUGAAAGUGGGGGAUCGCAAGACCUCAUGCUCAUGGAGUGGCCGAUAUCUGAUUAGCUAGUUGGUGAGGUAAAGGCUCACCAAGGCGACGAUCAGUAGCUGGUUUGAGAGACCGACCAGCCACACUGGAACUGAGACACGGUCCAGACUCCUACGGGAGGCAGCAGUGGGGAAUUUUGGACAAGGGGGGCAACCCUGAUCCAGCAAUGCCGCGUGAGUGAAGAAGGCCCUCGGGUUGUAAAGCUCUUUUGUCAGGGAAGAAACGGUCUACUCUAAUACAGUGGGCUAAUGACGGUACCUGAAGAAUAAGCACCGGCUAACUACGUGCCAGCAGCCGCCGUAA
rnacentral:rRNA from 1 species